AUCCCAUGAUGAGGAUAUUGUCGAAAAAACACCUUGAAUCUCUCCUAAGCAUAAAACACAUACUCAUCCUCUCCUUGUCUAAAUGAAUUAAUCUCAUUUCUCAUCUU